AUUGAACGCUGGCGGCAGGCCUAACACAUGCAAGUCGAGCGAGCGGCGGACGGGUGAGUAAUGUCUGGGACACUGCCUGAUGGAGGGGGAUAACUACUGGAAACGGUAGCUAAUACCGCAUACCAUCGGAUGUGCCAAGAUGGGAUUAGCUAGUAGGUGGGGUAAAGGCUCACCAAGGCGACGAUCCCUAGCUGGUCUGAGAGGGUGACCAGCCACACUGGAACUGAGACACGGUCCAGACUCCUACGGGAGGCAGCAGUGGGGAAUAUUGCGCAAUGGGCGAAAGCCUGAUGCAGCAAUGCCGCGUGAAUGAAGAAGGCCUUCGGGUUGUAAAGUUCUGUCAGCGGGGAAGCGUUACCCGCAGAAGAAGCACCGGCUAACUCCGUGCCAGCAGCCGCGGUAAUAC
rnacentral:rRNA from 1 species